rnacentral:lncRNA from 1 species
UUUGCCGCCAGCUUAUUCGGUCAUAAGAAAUGACAGACAAUUUAGCAAAGGUGGCGGUGUUGCCGGUGACCCCGCCGACGGAGAAUAUGCCUAGCAUGGCCACCCUCCCUUCGAACUGGGCCGAGUCCUGUCAGCUGUGUGUGUCUCCCUUCGUCAGAGUGAAUUCGAAUUGUGUGUGGUGGUCUGUCAUGCCGGAAAUAUUAUUGUGAGCUUACGAUGCACAAUUUGUGCCACGUGUGUUUGUUUUGAGCCGUGAGCCGGCAAAGAGAGAUUGUAGCGAACAUCGGUAACACUGCAGUGCGCUUCGUCUGGAAACAGGAUCCCGCGGCGACAUACCACUGCAAACAAACAUCGUGUGUGUUUGUUCCAUGGUGUUUUGCUUUGCUCCUAAGUGAGGUUACGACGAGGAGAGUUUGCCAAAGUCUGGUAUCUACUGUGAACUUGAACGGAAAGAGG